rnacentral:rRNA from 1 species
GACGAACGCUGGCGGCGCGCCUAACACAUGCAAGUCGAACGAGAGAUGAGGAGCUUGCUCUUCAAAUCGAGUGGCGAACGGGUGAGUAACGCGUGAGGAACCUGCCUCAAAGAGGGGGACAACAGUUGGAAACGACUGCUAAUACCGCAUAAGCCCACGGCUCGGCAUCGAGCAGAGGGAAAAGGAGCAAUCCGCUUUGAGAUGGCCUCGCGUCCGAUUAGCUAGUUGGUGAGGUAAUGGCCCACCAAGGCGACGAUCGGUAGCCGGACUGGGAGGUUGAACGGCCACAUUGGGACUGAGACACGGCCCAGACUCCUACGGGAGGCAGCAGUGGGGAAUAUUGCACAAUGGGGGAAACCCUGAUGCAGCGACGCCGCGUGGAGGAAGAAGGUCUUCGGAUUGUAAACUCCUGUUGUUGAGGAAGAUAAUGACGGUACUC